rnacentral:lncRNA from 10 species
GGAGCCCUCCUGGAGAACCUCUGCUAGGGCAGUACAGAAGGAAAAUGUGAGGUAGGAACCCCCACAUAGAGUCUCCACUGGGGCACUGCCUAGUGGAGCUGUGAGAAGAGGGCCACUGUCCUCCAGACCCCAGAAUGGUAGAUCCACUGACAACUUAUACCAUGCACCUGGAAAAGCUGUAGACACUCAAUAUCAGCCUGUGAAAGUAGCCACAGGGUCAGAGCUGCCCAAGACCACAAGACCAUGGGAACCCACCUCAUUCAUCAGCAUGACCUGGAUGUGAGACAUGGAGUCAAAGUAGAUUGUUUUGGAGCUUUAAGAUUUGACUGCCCCACUGGAUUUCAGACUUGCAUCAUGCCCAUAGCCCCUUCAUUUUGGCCAAUUUCUGGAAUGGGUGUAUUUACCCAAUCCUUGUACCCCCAUUGUAUCUAGGAUGUAACUAAUUUGCUUUUGAUUUUACAGGCUCAUGGGCAGAAGUGACUUGCCUUGUUUCAGAUGAGACUUUGGACCAUGAACUUUUGAGUUAAUGCUGAACUCCACCUUGCAGAGAUGCUGUCAAAUAUGCACAAGCUCUUAUAUUAUCAGUGUCUUCCCAAGAUGAAGCCAAGUCCUGAUGAGCUGAAGCUAAGAGUUCUUUUCAUCUUGACAUACUGGCAGCCAGCUAACCCAACCAUGGCCCUAUUUUCUCCAACCAUUACUAAACAUGUGGAUGUGAUGGUGGAGCUGGAAUAGCUGUGACUUGGGGAAUGGAGGCCACAAAUGGCACAGCAACAGGAAGAAAGAAGCCUUGAUCUUUGAUAAUUCUGGAUGCUGGGAAGUGUAAGAUCAAGAUGGUGGCAGGUUCGACUGGUGAGAGUUGCAUUCUCCAGAUGGAAGAAACAUUGUGUCCUCAUCUGGUGGAAGGUGGAAGGUCGUGACACGUACUUCAGAAUUCACAAGGCAACAGGAAAAAAAAAGGUUCAUGAGGGAAGAAAACCAAGUGAAUAACCCAGGAAAGUUGGUGAACUGUGACAUGUGUUGGACUCAUGUGAACCAUGAAUAUGUCGUAGGACAUGAUAAAAAAGAAAAAAGGAAAAAAGGUGGGAAGACUGAGAACUCACCUAUUGAUUCAGACCAAAACCCAAUUCAGCUUUUCCAGAAGACAAGAGUCUGCGUCAUAGAUUGAGUGUUGCUGCAGUAAUGUGAAGCAAGCCUACUGUCACCUUCUCAUAGAAAAUUGGAUAUCUUUCCUGACUGCCUGUUGUGGACUGAAUUGAGUCCACUUCAAAAUUCAUAUGUUAAAGCCCUAACCCCCAAUGUCACUGUUAAGGAGGAAAUUAAGGUUAAAUGAGGUCAUAUGGGUGGGAACCUUAAUUCAAUAAGACUGGUGUCCUUAUCAGAAGAAACACACCAAGGAUGCAUACUCACAGAAAAAAGCCCUCAUGAGGACAUAGAGAGAAGAUGGUCAUCAGCAAGGCAAGGAGAGAGGCAUCAAGAGAAACCAAACCUGCAGACACUUUGAUCUUAGACUUCCAGCCUCCAUACUGUGAGAUAAAUUUCUGUUAUUUAAGUCACAUAGUCUGUGGUAUUUUGUUAUGGCAACCCUAGCAAACUACUACACAGCCUUUUCAUGAGUUAUUGUUUUGUUUUGUUUUGUUUUUGCCUAAAAUCUAGAUCCUGCACAACCAUUUCAUGACUUUUGAUUUCAGGGUUAAUACUUUGUAUUGUCUUGGCGUUAAUACUUAUGUAUCAAAUUUUUCUGGGACCUAUUUUUUUCUUUCAAUUGACAAAUGCAAUUACUUUUAUUUUCAGAAAAGUUGCCUUCUAUGUUAUCUUGAAAUAUUUUUGUCCUUUUUCUCAAUGUAAAAAUAAUAUGCAGCCCUAAAAAAGAAUGAAAUUAUGUCCUAUGCAGCAACAUGGAUGCAGCUGGAGGCCAUUAUCCUAAGUGAAUUAAUGCGGAAACAGAAAAGCAAAUACCACAUGUAUUUGUGGAUGUGGUAUCCACAUCCACUUAUAAGUGGAUGCUAAACCUUGGGUACUCACAGACAUAAAGAUGGCAACAAUAGACACUGGGGACUACUAGAACAGGGAGGGAGGGAGGGAGGGGGGCAAAGGUUGAAAAACUAUCAAGUACUAUGCUUACCACCUGAAGGAUGGGAUCAUUUCUACCCCAAACCUCAGCAUCACACAUUAUACCCACAUAACAAACCUGCACAUGUACCCUCCAAAUCUAAAAUAAAAGGUGAAAAUAUUUUAAAAAAUUACAUCUACAAGGGAUCGCCUUUGUCUGCUUCCAGUGAUGUUAUCUCAAAUACUUCCUAAUGACACACUUUUUUAUUCUUACAGAUCUUUUUUUGUUUGUUUGUUUCAUCUUAUAUGUGUGCUUCAACAGGUGCAUCCUUUCUGACUUAGCAUCAGGGUGAUGGUAAGAUCUGUAUUUGAGGUUAGGCUAUGAGGACUCCUUUUUAGACCCUGAGCCUACAGCAGAUGCUACAAAUGCUACAAAUGCUACAAACCAGCUUUGUAGCCUAGAAGAACAUAAGCCUCCCAAAAGAAACACUUUGCGUGUAUAGGUCCCACAAAAAAAUCAUGAAUGAGGGAUCAUUAAUAGUGAGUUUUCUAUCCAGACAAUAUCUCAUAGGGUCUAAUUCACAGUAUUGUUUUAUGUCCAACAUAUUGGUUGCUAGUAACACAGAAAAAUGCUUUAUAAGAGAUUUUUAGAAACACAUUAUGUCAAUGAUUAAUGCCAAUAAUUUCUACUUUAUCAACAAUUAUCCAAAU